rnacentral:rRNA from 1 species
UACGUAGGGGGCAAGCGUUGUCCGGAAUCAUUGGGCGUAAAGCGCGUGUAGGCGGCCAGAAAAGUCCGCUGUGAAAACUCGAGGCUCAACUUCGAGCUGUCGGUGGAAUCUUUCUGGCUAGAGUCCGGAAGAGGAGAAUGGAAUUCCUGGUGUAGCGGUGAAAUGCGCAGAUAUCAGGAAGAACACCCGCGGCGAAGGCGGUUCUCUGGGACGGUACUGACGCUGAGACGCGAAAGCGUGGGGAGCGAACAGG